rnacentral:rRNA from 1 species
AACGAACGCUGGCGGCAGGCUUAACACAUGCAAGUCGAGCGCCCCGCAAGGGGAGCGGCGGACGGGUUAGUAACGCGUGGGAGCGUGCCCUCUUCUACGGAAUAGCCUCGGGAAACUGAGAUUAAUACCGUAUACGCCCGAAAGGGGAAAGAUUUAUCGGAGGAGGAUCGGCCCGCGUUGGAUUAGGUAGUUGGUGGGGUAAUGGCCUACCAAGCCGACGAUCCAUAGCUGGUUUGAGAGGAUGAUCAGCAACACUGGGACUGAGACACGGCCCAGACUCCUACGGGAGGCAGCAGUGGGGAAUCUUGGACAAUGGGGGAAACCCUGAUCCAGCCAUGCCGCGUGAGCGAUGAAGGCCUUAGGGUUGUAAAGCUCUUUCAGCGGGGAAGAUAAUGACGGUACCCGCAGAAGAAGCCCCGGCUAACUCCGUGCCAGCAGCCGCCGCCG